UUGGAAGAUGCACAGAAGAAAGAAAAGAAAGAUCAAGUGCAAGAUGAAAUUCUUAAUGAAGGGGGAUUUAAUUCAUUAGUCUUAGAUCCGAUACUGAGGAGUUUGGCAAAAAGUGAUUAUGUAUUUUUUCCAGUCGUGGCAAAGUUCCACUUCAGUCUUCUUGUUCUACAUAAAAAUGAGAAGAGGUGGAUACAUUACAACCCCUUCAGGAAGAGAUCAAAACUGCAUUUUGAUCCAUGCUAUGAGACUGCCAAGAAAAUGCACAAACUGAUACAACAAUGGUUGCUUUUAACCCAAAAAGGAGCUGAAGAAGCACUGUUGAGAGGAACAAAAGAGAAGAGGAGGGGCAACAAGGAAGACUGGACAGAAGUGCCUCUCCAUGAAGACGAAAUAAGAACGUUAACCUGGAUGAUCAAUCAAUAUAUCGACUUUAAAUUAGAGAAUGACGAUAUAUGUCCGCAGCAGAACUUCAAGUCGUUGGAUUGUGGCAUAUUUGUAAUGUACUACAUGAAUCAAAUCUCUAAAGGUCUUCAGCUUGAAGGAAAGAUCACAGAACACAGAAUGUGGGAAUUCCGGAAACAUCUGAUUAAACUCUUUUUGGAUCAUGAAAAUAGCUGGAAAGAGAACUCAAGCAUAGGAUGUUAAAGUAGCAGUUCAUGUUAAUGCAUGGGUAAAGGUUGCUGGGGCAGCAGAGAUGGCUGUUGGAAUUGGUACUGGU